rnacentral:rRNA from 1 species
AGAUUGAACGCUGGCGGCAUGCCUUACACAUGCAAGUCGAACGGCAGCACGGACUUCGGUCCGGUGGCGAGUGGCGAACGGGUGAGUAAUAUAUCGGAACGUACCCUGGAGUGGGGGGAUAACGCAGCGAAAGUUGCGCUAAUACCGCAUACGAUCUACGGAUGAAAGUGGGGGCUCGCAAGACCUCAUGCUCGUGGAGCGGCCGAUAUCUGAUUAGCUAGUUGGUAGGGUAAAGCCUACCAAGGCAUCGAUCAGUAGCUGGUCUGAGAGGACGACCAGCCACACUGGACUGAGACACGGCCCAAGACUCCUACGGGAGCAGCAGUGGGAAUUUGGACUAAGUGGGGCAACCUGACUCCAGCAAUGCCGCGUGAGUAGAAGAAGGUCCGUUCGGUUAGUAAGUCUCGUUUUGUCGAAGGAAAGUAAACGGUAGGAAGGUACGUAAUA